UCAAAUGGCUCGAUCUCUGA
rnacentral:snRNA from 1 species